GGUUUCAUAGUGUAGUGGUCAUCACGUCUGCUUUACACGCAGAAGGUCCUGGGUUCAAUCCCCAGUGGAACCA